CUUCAACGACCCCAGCCACAGCGGGCGUUCGGGCGACCUGCCCCGGCCAUACGUGGCCAGCAGCGCCUGCGCCUC
rfam:Streptomyces chattanoogensis strain NRRL ISP-5002 ISP5002contig134.1, whole genome shotgun sequence.